GGAUUAGAUACCCUGGUAGUCCACGCCGUAAACGGUGAACACUAGGUGUAGCGGGUAUUGACCCCUGCUGUGCCGUAGCUAACGCGUUAAGUGUUCCGCCUGGGGAGUACGGCCGCAAGGUUGAAACUCAAAGGAAUUGACGGGGGCCCGCACAAGCGGUGGAGCAUGUGGUUUAAUUCGACGCAACGCGCAGAACCUUACCCAGGCUUGACAUCCCCUGACAACCCUGGAAACAGGGCCUUCCCUUUUGGGACAGGGUGACAGGUGCUGCAUGGCUGUCGUCAGCUCGUGCCG
rnacentral:rRNA from 1 species